rnacentral:tRNA from 1 species
GCGCUGGUAAUUUAGAGGUAGAAUUUCUCCCUUCCAAGGAGAAUACCUGGGUUCGAUUCCCAGCCAGCGCA